rnacentral:misc_RNA from 1 species
GAUGAAGAACGUAGCGAAAUGCGAUAAGUAAUGUGAAUUGCAGAAUUCAGUGAAUCAUCGAAUCUUUGAACGCACAUUGCGCCCGCCAGUAUUCUGGCGGGCAUGCCUGUCUGAGCGUCAUUUCAACCCUCAUGCCCCUAGGGCGUGGUGUUGGGGAUCGGCCAAAGCCCGCGAGGGACGGCCGGCCCCUAAAUCUAGUGGCGGACCCGUCGUGGCCUCCUCUGCGAAGUAGUGAUAUUCCGCAUCGGAGAGCGAUGAGCCCCUGCCGUUAAACCCCCAACUUUCCAAGGUUGACCUCAGAUCAGGUAGGAAUACCCGCUGAACUUAAGCAUAUCAAUAAGCUGAGGA